UCCUAAGGCAAGCUCAAUGAGAACAGAAAUCUCAUGUAGAUGGAACAAAGGGUGAAAGCUCUC
rnacentral:rRNA from 1 species